rnacentral:rRNA from 1 species
AAUGAACGCUGGCGGCAUGCUUUACACAUGCAAGUCGAACGGUAACAGGCCGCAAGGUGCUGACGAGUGGCGAACGGGUGAGUAAUGCAUCGGAACGUGCCCAGUCGUGGGGGAUAACUGCUCGAAAGAGCAGCUAAUACCGCAUACGCCCUGAGGGGGAAAGCGGGGGAUCGUAAGACCUCGCGUUAUACGAGCGGCCGAUGUCGGAUUAGCUAGUUGGUGGGGUAAAGGCCUACCAAGGCGACGAUCCGUAGCGGGUCUGAGAGGAUGAUCCGCCACACUGGGACUGGGACACGGCCCAGACUCCUACGGGAGGCAGCAGUGGGGAAUUUUGGACAAUGGGCGAAAGCCUGAUCCAGCCAUGCCGCGUGAGUGAAGAAGGCCUUCGGGUUGUAAAGCUCUUUCAGACGGAAAGAAAUCUCCUGGGUUAAUACCCCGGGAGGAUGACGGUACCGUAAGAAGAAGCACCGGCUAACUACGUGCCAGCAGCCGCGGUAAAAC